GAUAAUGGUGUUUCGGGGACGCUGAAUGCGGAAGUCGCAUCGACGGAGGCGGCCAGUGAGGAAAUUUCUGAUUCUGUUGGGACUGAGGCCUGAUCUUAUUAGGGUUUUUAACUUCAUAUUGGUAUGUUUUAGGAUUUUUUUUCCAUGUUUAUUAUAAUGAGUACUGUUUGUACUAAAUUAUGGGUUUCUCUGAUGAUUAUCAUAUAAU
rnacentral:misc_RNA from 1 species